UCAGGCCCUGGCAGUCCUUCAGAAUUCCAUGGGCUCCUGACCACUUCAUCCCACAUGCCUGGCAAGGUCCUUCCUGGAGGCUGCUUUGGUCAGUGUCUCCUCUGGUAGAGUUCCCCUCAAGGCACGGGCCCCCAAACCCUUGCUCCCCUCUGGAGAUGUUCCCAUGCUUAAGGACCAGGAGACUGUGACUCAUGAGCUACAAGAAGUCCUUGGCAUGCGCCCUGCUGGCUGGAAGAAGAUUAAUGGCCCAGUGAAUGUGCUUGCUGAAGGAGGACGGCAUAGGCAAUGGCAGCGAGUUCCUGCUGGGAGAACACUUGCCAGCCCGUGGGGGAUACCAGCCUUGGCAUGGCAGAACAGUGGGUUUGCUCGGGUAUUUGAAGGUGUGUGUCUCAGAGGGAACCCUCAACUCCUUUCCCCUGCAGCUCCUGUUGGAAGCAGGUGCACAAGAUGGUGCCUUACCUAUUGCCGCUUGAAAGCCUGCUGCAGGCUAGCACUGGAGAAGGCUGCUGGGUGGUUAUACCUCGCUUCAUGGAGCAUCUGAGGACUGUUCUUCAAGAUGUGCCAGUCACUCAUUUACUCAUUCCUUGUCUUCAACCAGUAAACAAAAGUCCUUCAUGUAUUAGGUGUAAUAUCACAUGCCGAGAGAGACCCUUCCAGGACAGAACAAUCGAGCUGGGGGAGACCGAAGCGUACUUCUAUACACAGUGAAAUGGCCAGACUUAGGAAAAGAACAUCCCCAGAUGGAACACACAACACAGUGGAUGACCUGCCUCCUCCUGUGCUAGGACUGCAUAUGACUGGAGGAGGCCCAUCCGUGUGGUGGGGGGCUUUCGGCUCUACUCUACUGAGAUUAAAACCUACCUCUGUGGUGCUGGCAGGAUGGGAUGGCUAAGGUGGAAAAGGUGCUUGCUGCAAGCCUGACAACCUGAAUUCCAACCUGUAAGGUAAGAAAACUAAGCACUGAGUUCCAGGGAGUUGCUGCGGUCUCGUGAGCAGGAUUCAUGCUCACAUCAUGGGAUUUUGAGGAGUGAGGUUCCCUGAGUGGUGUUUCCUUCCCAUGAUGCCCAUAGAACGUACACAAUGAAACUCUUAGCUACAAGCCCUUUGGAACAGAAAGAAACUACACUGUUGUGGGUUAGUGGUCCAUGAGAGGUAGCCUGGUCCAUGGUUGAGCUAAAGGCUUUGAAGCCCCUGAGGACCCUGAAGGGAUGGUAGGGACUUCACUUGCUCCCAGGCACCAGUCCCCUGACACGUAGCCACAGCCCCACAUAGAUUUGUGGCCAUCAGUCAUGUAAGAGCAAUGCCCCAAGCCCUUCCACAUGUAGAUGAGGCAUUCCUAACAUCCCUAACAUCCCUAACAUCUCAGACCAAGACAAUAGGAAAAGAGAUGUGACCACAUAAGCUCAAGAUAGAGAUUUCCAUGCUGAUGAGGUACCUAGAGGCCCAGAGAUCAUUGCUAAUAAAAUUUCCUUCCUAGACAUUUCUCCCUGCAAAAGGUAUUUAAUCUCAGGCCCACCCUGAGAAGUGGGGUGUAGUUUUACCAAUCCACUUUCCAUGAUGACAAUAAAUAAUUUGGAACCACAGACUGUAUCUUUUCAUUGGGAUCCGCUGUGGGAAGCCAUGGAGAAGAUCUUCAUCUAUAGAGCUAAUGUCUAGUCUCCUGUAGAAGGUCUCUUUGCACUCCCAGCCACAACUGCUACAAAGCCUGCCACCUUCAAGCCAAGGACAAUCACUGUGGGACCAGGCAGAACCCUAGCCACCUCACCACCCUGGCUCUGGGUUAGACCUAGCUCUCUGACCCAACUCUAUUCUCAGCUCUUCUGUGACUUCCUGCAGUGCCUGGAUAUCCAAGGAUCUGAGAAACCCACGGGCCUGGUCCAGGGACCCAGCUCCAGCUUUCCCACAUCUCAGCCUGGGCUUUCCCCCUCUGGAGCAGUGUCUCAGGGUUUCCCUACAGCCCAGCACUCACCCCAGCAGCAGCGGUGUGGGACAUGUGCAGUCAAACUCCCUGUGUUCCUCCUCCCCAAGCCAUCAUGCCCUGUGGCAAAGGGGACGAGGGACCCACAACCCUACACAUUGUAGAGUAUUAAUAUUUAAACACAAAGCUAACUUUAUAAACACUCUACAGGAAUAGAUGGUUUUCCUUAUGCUUCUGUUGUUGAGUAUUACAACUGAGGAGUAUUACAACCUUUAAACUCAA